UGGGGAAUUUUGGACAAUGGGCGAAAGCCUGAUCCAGCAAUGCCGCGUGUGUGAAGAAGGCCUUCGGGUUGUAAAGCACUUUUGUCCGGAAAGAAAUCCUCUGGGUUAAUACCUCGGGGGGAUGACGGUACCGGAAGAAUAAGCACCGGCUAACUACGUGCCAGCAGCCGCGGUAAUACGUAGGGUGCGAGCGUUAAUCGGAAUUACUGGGCGUAAAGCGUGCGCAGGCGGUUUUGUAAGACGGAUGUGAAAUCCCCGGGCUCAACCUGGGAACUGCAUUCGUGACUGCAAGGCUAGAGUAUGGCAGAGGGGGGUAGAAUUCCACGUGUAGCAGUGAAAUGCGUAGAGAUGUGGAGGAAUACCGAUGGCGAAGGCAGCCCCCUGGGCCAAUACUGACGCUCAUGCACGAAAGCGUGGGGAGCAAACAGG
rnacentral:rRNA from 1 species